ACUCCUACGGGAGGCAGCAGUGGGGAAUAUUGCACAAUGGGCGCAAGCCUGAUGCAGCCAUGCCGCGUGUGUGAAGAAGGCCUUCGGGUUGUAAAGCACUUUCAGUCGUGAGGAAGGUAGUUGUAGUUAAUAGCUGCUAUUAUUUGACGUUAGCGAACAGAAGAAGCACCGGCUAACUCCGUGCCAGCAGCCGCGGUAAUACGGAGGGUGCGAGCGUUAAUCGGAAUUACUGGGCGUAAAGCGCAUGCAGGUGGUUUGUUAAGUCAGAUGUGAAAGCCCGGGGCUCAACCUC
rnacentral:rRNA from 1 species